GAUGAACGCUGGCGGCGUGCCUAAUACAUGCAAGUCGAGCGAACAGACGAGGAGCUUGCUCCUCUGACGUUAGCGGCGGACGGGUGAGUAACACGUGGAUAACCUACCUUUAAGACUGGGAUAACUUCGGGAAACCGGAGCUAAUACCGGAUAAUAUAUUGAACCGCAUGGUUCAAUAGUGAAAGACGGUUUUGCUGUCACUUAUAGAUGGAUCCGCGCCGCAUUAGCUAGUUGGUAAGGUAACGGCUUACCAAGGCAACGAUGCGUAGCCGACCUGAGAGGGUGAUCGGCCACACUGGAACUGAGACACGGUCCAGACUCCUACGGGAGGCAGCAGUAGGGAAUCUUCCGCAAUGGGCGAAAGCCUGACGGAGCAACGCCGCGUGAGUGAUGAAGGUCUUCGGAUCGUAAAACUCUGUUAUUAGGGAAGAACAAAUGUGUAAGUAACUUUGCACGUCUUGACGGUACCUAAUCAGAAAGCCACGGCUAACUACGUG
rnacentral:rRNA from 1 species